rnacentral:rRNA from 1 species
GUAACAAGGUCUCCGUUGGUG